rnacentral:lncRNA from 1 species
UCUCUACAAGGCUGAGCUAACUUGCCUGGAGGAUUGGGCUGUUGGUCAGUGAAUUCUGCGGCUUCUUCCUGCAGGAGGACACUGCAGGAUGAGUCGCGGUUGGCUACUGCCGUUCUUGUCUUCCUAAGCUAUGUAUGGUGUCCAUGCAUUCUUCUGUCUACCUAGUUCAGUGAUAAGGCAGGGAUCCUAGAUCCCCACUGGAUCCUUCUUCCAAAUCUAGGUCAGCGGGGACAGAUACUGGCUUCUUGGGACAAUCCACUCACACAAGCCUCAGGCAGCUUCCAGGCGAGCCUGCCAGAGGUGCUAUGCUCAUAGGACGGUCGCUGUAUGACCCGAGAUAUCCUUGCCUCACACAUGACGCAUGCUCAGGAGACCUUUGGAGAGCGGGUGUGAUAUAGCACACUCGACAGGUGGUUGGGUGAUUGCUGGGCCGGGAAGGAUGGGUGUCCCCAUCCCAGGGGCAGACCUAAGUGCAACCCUUCCUCAUCACACCAGGUGUGAGUCUGGCUACAUUGGGAAAAACUGUGAGUGUCAGACGCAGGGCCGGAGCAGCCAGGAGCUGGAGGGGAACUGCCGGAAGGACAAUAGUUCCAUUGUGUGCUCGGGGCUGGGGGACUGCAUCUGCGGGCAGUGCGUGUGCCACACGAGUGACAUCCCCAACAAAGU